GGGGGAGGCGGGGGGCAGCUCAUCAUUUGACCAACAGGAAUAUGAUACAACAUUUACAGGAAACAUCAUCUGGCUGUUCUCCAAUGGAGGCAGAACUGUGUGUCAUGUGGCUCAGCGCAGCAACAAGCGGCUCAUUGUGACACUCCGGUCCAUUCACAGAAACAGCAUUCUGGGAGUCCACACUUCAACCCUGUUGGAGUUGGGGAGAAAUAGGUUGAAAAAGAAAGACAAAGAAAGAAAGAUAGAAAGAAAGAGAGAUAAAAAGACAGUAAUUUUUUUAGUUGGGCCAGAUAUUGAUCUGUUGGUGUACUGACCGAUCUCUCAACACAGAGGAAACCUUUAACAGGGAUUGACCUGAUCAGAGCAUUUAUCUCCAACUCACUGAACUCUCACACAGUCGUGUGUCUUAAGGAUUAUAGCAGGGCGUAAUUUAGGCUACUACAUUUGUAAUUACACACAUAUACACACACAUACACAUACACACACACACACACGGUGAUAUCAUGAUUCCCAACAAAUAUUUAAGAAUCUAUUAUAUUCUGUUGCAUAUAGAUAACAGACUAUGUUUCUGAUUAUAAUAACAUAGAAGCAAGGAGCCUUUAUUCUGUGGGCCAGACGGUUCUGUCUCUGCUUUCGUUGUGUUCCAUCAGAGUCCAGUUAAUAUGUCAUCCUGAGCAGGAGUAUAAUCACAGUGAAGUUGUGCUUUUAUGGUCUACAUAAACAGAUCUGGAGAGACGUAUGAAAAUGUAUCAUAAAAUACAGCUGACCCAAUAUCUAGAUGUGUUGUUAUAGUGACCACACAUACACGUAUGCAAACACACACACACACACGGCCCUGAUACAAAACCAGGCUUCCACUGGAUGCUUCUAACAUUGCCCGCUGUGAUGCAGUCUCCAUGGUGACGGUCGGUCGUUUCCUGGGUAACCCCAGCCACGGUUGCCAUGGCAGCGCUGUUUCCUGGGUUACGUUCCAGAUGGCCUGGGAGUCAGACAGAAGAUUGUCAUCUCUCCUCUCCUCUGGAGUCUGAACACCUCUUUACACAACACUCACGUACCCACAGAUGACACAGUCUUUGGUUAGCCUGUCAGUGAUACCAAACAAAGUGUUGCCAAGGUGUCCAGGGAGAAAGGGGCUGGCGUUUUCAGAACUGCUUUGGAGAGAACAGUGAAACUCUAUCGGAACGGUUUUCUGCUAACACCAGAUCUUAAAUAAAACAUUUAGUGAGAUGGAGCAAACUAAUAUCACGACAGAGGCUAAAGCUGUUCAACCAACCAUUAUCAUGACAGAGGCUAAAGAUGUUCAACCAACCAUUAUCAUGACAGAGGCUAAAGCUGUUCAACCAACCAAUAUCAUGACAGAGGCUAAAGCUGUUCAACCAACCAAUAUCAUGACAGAGGCUAAAGCUGUUCAACCAAUCAAUAUCAUGACAGAGGCACAAGCUGUUCAAACAACCAAUGUCAUGACAGAGGCUAAAGCUGUUCAACCAACCAUUAUCAUGACAGAGGCUAAAGCUGUUCAACCAACCAAUAUCAAUGCAGAGGCACAAGCUGUUCAACCAACUAAUAUUGUGACAGAAACUAAAGCUGUUCAAUCAACCAAUAUGAUCACAGAGUCUGAGGCUGUUAAACCAACCAAUAGGAUCACAGAGGCUAAAGCUGUUAAACCAACCAAACUCAUAACAGAGUCUGAGGCUGUUAAACCAACUAAUAUGAUCACAGGGUCUGAGGCUGUUCAACCAACCAAUAUGAUCACACAAUCUGAGUCUGUUCAACCAACCAAAAACAUCAGAGUCUGAGGCUGUUCAACCAACCCAGCAAAUGGAAAGGAGUUCAGAGGGAGUGCCCAAAUCAAGAAGUCACAUCACCCAGAUGCUCACAGACAGACAGACAGGCAGAGAGACAGACAGACAGAGACAGACAGACAGACAAACUGACAUCAUCCAUUUUCACUGUCUGUCUGUCUGUGGGUCCGGCUGGCAUUGUUCUGACCCUGUUGAUGGGUUAGAACCAAGAUUCACUCUGACCACCUGACACUGCUCUUCAACUACCUAACAUACAUCCAACACGCACGGGGAACUCUGACUCCUCCCAGGGGACGGUCAGCACCAGAACUCUGACUCCUCCCAGGGGACGGUCAGCACCAGAACUCUGACUCCUCCCAGGGGUCUCUCAGCACCAGAACUCUACAGGACGUCACCAGAAAAGGAGCGAAGUUUGAGCCAUAAGAUUCAGCCAUAACACCCUGGAGUCAACACAACAUGAAUUAGGAUACAACCAGGAACCAACCAAGAAUGAACCAGGAACCAAUGAGCAACCGACUGGGUGUAAACUAAGAUCCAACCAGGAAAUAACCAAGAAGAAACCAGGAAUGGACAAAGAGAGACUGAAACAGUGUUAUCCACAGAAGCAGAACUCAUACAUUGGACAGUCUAAUUCAGAGAAAGAUUCUGUCUGGUGGGAAGACUAGGUGGUAUGUUCUCCAUAUCUGAAUUCUGCUUCGUUUUGUGUCCUAUUUAUUCAACCUCUGUGCACCAAUCAGCCGUUAGUGAAAUCACCUGGUGGUGUUAACCAAUCGGGAACCGCAAUGUUUUGAAGAACUGUUAAACCACAAGCCUUCGUUAGUUGUGUACUUUCUUUGUAACUAACAUUUGACCACACACACACGCAUACAUCUGAACGGUGUGUGGUUUGCUGCAGUUACCUGACACACACACACACACACACACACAGAAGAGAGCUUAAUGACACUUCCUAUAAAUGGGAAUGCUUGGGGAGUGAUAAGUGGUGCUGAAUGGAGCUGUGUUGAGUUGGUAGUGUUGAGUGAAAAUGUGCUGACUGAAAAACAUGUUGAGUUGGGAGUGUUGAGUGAAAAUAUGUUGAGUGGAUCUGUGUAGAGUGAAACCAUUUUGAGGUGGGAGUGUGGAGUGGAGUUGUGUUGAGUGAAGCCAUGUUGAGGUGGGAGUGUUGAGUGGGACCGUGUUCAGUUGGGAGUGUUGAGUGGGAGCGUGUCACGGUCUUUGUCAUAUUGGCAUAUUACAGUACUUGUUUUAUUGCGCUGUGCUGUCUACAACAUAAAUAUUGAAACCAACUCUGUGCGACUUGUCAUUGUUCUGUUUAACAGCGUUGAGGUGCAGAGCACAAAAC
ensembl:lncRNA